rnacentral:rRNA from 1 species
UACGUAGGGGGCAAGCGUUAUCCGGAAUUACUGGGUGUAAAGGGUGCGUAGGCGGCGAUUUAAGUCAGAUGUGAAAACUCAGGGCUCAACCUUGAGACUGCAUCUGAAACUGAGUUGCUAGAGUGCAGGAGAGGAAAGCGGAAUUCCGAGUGUAGCGGUGAAAUGCGUAGAGAUUCGGAGGAACACCAGUAGCGAAGGCGGCUUUCUGGACUGUAACUGACGCUGAGGCACGAAAGCGUGGGGAGCGAACAG